CAUAAUCAAAAGAAAGUUGUGUUCGCUUUUUUAAAUGACUGUGGUCCUAAUCCUGCAAACACUUGCAUAACUUUAAUUGCAUGCUUACAGCUCCAUAACUUCAAUGGGACUAGCUGUGUAAGUAAAUUCAGGCAGGCACAUACCUGUUUGCAAGACCAGGGGCUUUGCUUGUUUUAUAGAGUCCAUUUCAGAGAAAAAAGGCUACUUUAAUUUGAUUUAGUUUAAUUUAAUUUAUACCACAGGGCUGGCCAAACUUAUUGGCCCUCCGAGCUGCAUAUGACAAUCUUCAGAAGUUUGAGAGCUGGGGUCCACCUGCUGGGGCUCAGGGCUUCAGCUCCGCGGGAGGCGCCUGCCGGAACUCCAGGCUUCAGGCCCCAUGGCGCUUCAGUUACACUAAUGUGACUGCAUGCAGAGUCCUGAGCAUUACUCCCAGAUCUGCUCUGGACUUUUGUGAUGUGGGGCAAGUCACUUAUCACUCUGUAAAAAUGCAAAUAAUACCUUACAGGUCAUUCUGGGCAACUGUGAGGCAUAACUAUUGUCCAUUAUCUUUGAAAACUCAUGGCGAUCCGGGGAAGUCUCGGACGACUGGAAAAAGGCUAAUGUAGUGCCCAUCUUUAAAAAAGGGAAGAAGGAGGAUCCUGGGAACUACAAGCCAGUCAGCCUCACCUCAGUCCCUGGAAAAAUCAUGGAGCAGGUCCUCAAGGAAUCAAUUCUGAAGCACGUAGAUGAGAGGAAAGUGAUCAGGAAUAGUCAGCAUGGAUUCACCAAGGGCAAGUCAUGCCUGACUAAUCUAAUUGCCUUCUAUGACGAGAUAACUGGUUCUGUGGAUGAAGGGAAAGCAGUGGACGUGGUGUUCCUUGACUUUAGCAAAGCUUUUGACACUGUCUCCCACAGUAUUCUUGUCAGCAAGUUAAAGACGUAUGUGCUGGAUGAAUGCACUAUAAGGUGGGUAGAAAAUUGGCUAGAUUAUCGGGCUCAACAGGUAGGGAUCACUGGCUCCAUGUCUAGUUGGCAGCCAGUAUCAAGCGGAGUACCCCAAGGGUCGGUCCUGGGGCCAGUUUUGUUCAAUAUCUUCAUUAAUGAUCUGGAGGAUGGUGUGGAUUUCACCCUCAGCAAGUUUGCAGACGACACUAAACUGGGAGGAGUGGUAGAUACGCUGGAGGGUAGGGCUAGGAUACAGAGGGCCCUAGGCAAAUUGGAGGAUUGGGCCAAAAGAAAUCUGAUGAGGUUCAGCAAGGACAAGUGCAGAGUCCUGCACUUAGGAUGGAAGAAUCCAAUGCACCGCUACACACUAGGGACCGAAUGGCUAGGCAGCAGUUCUGCAGAAAAGGACCUAGGGGUUACAGUGGACGAGAAGCUGGAUAUGAGUCAACAGUGUGCCCUUGUAGCCAAGAAGGCCAAUGGCAUUUUGGGAUGUAUAAGUAGGGGCAUUGCCAGCAGAUCGAGGGACGUGAUUGUUCCCCUCUAUUCGACAUUGGUGAGGCCUCAUCUGGAGUACUGUGUCCAGUUUUGGGCCCCACACUACAAGAAGGAUGUGGAAAACUUGGAGAGAGUCCAGCGGAGGGCAACAAAAAUGAUUAGGGGACUGGAACACAUGACUUAUGGGGAGAGGCUGAGGGAACUGGGAUUGUUUAGUCUACAGAAGAGAAGAAUGAGGGGAGAUUUGAUAGCUGCUUUCAACUACUUGAAAGGUGGUUCCAAAGAGGAUGGAUCUAGACUAUUCUCAGUGGUAGCGGAUGACAGGACAAGGAGUAAUGGUCUCAAGUUGCAGUGGGGGAGAUUUAGGUUGGAUAUUAGGAAAAACUUUUUCACUGGGAGGGUGUUGAAACACUGGAAUGCGUUACCUAGGGAGGUGGUGGACUCUCCUUCCUUAGAAGUUUUUAAGGUCAGGCUUGACAAAGCCCUGGCUGGGAUGAUUUAAUUGGGGAUCGGUCCUGCUUUGAGCAGGGGGUUGGACUAGAUGACCUCCUGAGGUCUCUUCCAAGCCUGAUAUUCUAUGAUUCUAUGAUUCUAUGAACUAAUGCUUAUAAAGCACUGGGAUGAAAGGUGCUAUAGCAAUGCAAAGCAUUAUGGGCCAUAUUCUGCCAUCAUGCUCAAGUUGAGUAGAACCUUGUUCCGUGAAUCUCACUGAAAUCGAGGGACUGUUUGUUGAGUAAAUACUAUAAGUGUGGAGUUUGCAAACAGGGGCAAAUGUAGCCUCCCAGUUCAGUGGCUGCACCAUCCCCUUCCAGGAGUCCCUGCCUGCUUCCACCCCACUUCUCACCCCCCUACUCUCUCCCACUCCCCAGUGGGCAGCCCUGCCUGUGUGAAUGUGCAUUCAGGCCUGAUUUCUGUGGGUGCACUUGCACCCGUGGACCCUGUCUAGAGCAGCCACUGGUUUGCAUGUUGAAAAAGGACAUGAAGGGCCUGAUUUUCUUCUCAUUCCGUCUACACUGGUGUAACUAGGGUUGCCAACACUGUAUUUCAGAAAUACUGGACAGUUUUCUUAGUACCACCCUGCUCCUCACCCCCCUUGUUGGCUCAUGUCUGUUCCACUUCAUGGUCCUCGGCACCGAGAUGAGUCCUCACUCUGUGCCCUCCCAGAAGCCUUUGCCUCCCCCUCCCAGGUCCCUACUCCUUACCUCACCCCAGUGAUGAGCUGCCAGAAGCUGAAGAACCGGUUCCUUCAGUCACUCCGGGUCUUCGGCAGCACUGAAGGGCCCACCGCCGAAGUGCUGCUGAAGACCUGGAGCGAGUGAAUGACUUGCCGCCGAAGACCCGGAGCGACUGAAGGACAUGCUGCUGAAGUGCUGUCGAAGGACUGCAGAGCCGCCAGGUGAGUAGAGCUCAGGCGGGACGGACAGGAUGGUCCCGCAGGCCGCAUGUGGCCUGCGGGCUGGAGUUCGCCGAACCCCUUUAACAACCGGUUCUAAACCGGCUGCAAAAUUUAACAACCGAUUCGCGCGAACUGGUGCAAACCGACUUCAGCUCACCACUGCCCCUCCCUACUGGUGAACCUCAGAUCCGUCUCACUUCCCAGGGAGCCAGCAAGAUUUUAGGAGCUGAGAGCCCGGGACCAGCACACAGAUCAGGGCCCGGGGUACUGCCCUGGCUGUGCUGCCAUCCACGUGAGACUGUGACAUGUUUGGUAUCGCUGCCAGGGCAUGCAUGCUUGCAGCUUAUGUUCUGGGUUUUUUUCACUGGGACCAGCAUUCCCUUAGUGGAUCCCAGUGAAAAAAUAAAUGACACAUUUUCACCGCACUCGGCAUGGCUGUACAAAAACUGGCCAGGAGGCAAUCCUAGUUGAAAUAUGGGAUCAAAGGCAACCCAAACUGAUUAAAGAACAUAUUGCCUGUCCCAUACUUAAAUAAAGGACAUCCCUUACAAUAUGGGGCAACUGUAGGUGUAAUUACCUGGCCUCCAGUGGAGUUACUCCCAGUUUACACUUGUGUGAGAGGAGAAUCAAAGUCCUUAAGAAAAAGCUGAGGCCUAAUGACUUGUAUUGAAUUUCUCUGCUCUUGCAAAAUCUAUGUUUCUGAAAAAUAGUUUGGCUAAAAAUUUCUUUGAGGGAGGAAAAAAGGCUCAUGAAAAGCCAACUACUGAAGAAACAUUUCCUGCCUGCCAAGGCUCUGAACAGCUCCUUUUCUGUAGCUGUCUGAAAAUGUUUUAGUCCUGAAGGAAAAAAACUCUGCAGAUCAUUCAUUUCCAGGAACUGACACUAGGGGGAGUAAAACAGAAUAAAAGGUUGGAGAGAAGUAAAGAAACCAUAGAAGAGUUAAAGGAAGAAAAGAAUCCGUGUUUUGAUGGGUUGAUUCUUUGAGUGAGCACUUUUGGAUGGCUGCUCCUGUACUCACACUCCCUGUCUCAUUCUUUUACACUUUGCAGGUCACACGUGGAAUCAGCUGCGAUCAGAGAAGAAGUCGAUUUAUAAGAACAGCAAAAUACAACUGACCUCCAGCCAUUUUGGAAUGGGGUACAUUCAGACUGGACAUUUAACUACUGCUGUACCUGAUCUCUGCAUCAAUGAAGACCUUCGUCCACGGGGCUCUCUCAGCAGCCCCAAAUUCGUUUUUUUGAAAAAGUGAACCAAGUGACUGAUUACAGGAAAGGCUUUAUAGUGUGCACAACCUAAGGUUAUCUCUGCACUCAGAAAACAUUGUGCACUCAUAUUAUGUGCCUGAGGGGAAUGCAUGAUGGAAAUACACAUGAGAUGGGCUUUGUUCAUGAACAGGUCCUGUUUGGGCUAUGAUAAGUAUAUGAUUUUUUUUAAAUGAAUGAAAUCAAAGGUGCCCCAAAACUAGAGAUGGGUUCAAGCAGCAACAUUCAUCUGCAUUGACAUUGCAAGCACCUCAGAGAUGGGGCUGAAGGGAGAGAAAAUGGCAAGAGGGGUUGCUCAGCCCAGUGCAAAUAUAGGGGCCAUUUGGAAAAUGUGGAGUAAGGUUUAGUUUUUGAACACCAGCCCCUUGAUGCAAAAGCUACGGGUGUUCUGAUUUGGGGCCUCAAUUCUGUACCUGAACUAGAAGGUAGAGAAAGGGGAUUACUCAUGAUCUUUCUUUAAUAUAUAUUUAGGACCCUUUGUUUUCAUUUUUUAUUUUAUUUUUUUUUCCUGGGAAUUUAUCAGUGUUUAUUACCAUAACAACAAAAGCAGGUGAAAAUCAGUGCAAAAAACUAUUAUGAAUUUUUUUU